GAUGAACGCUGGCGGCAUGCCUAAGACAUGCAAGUCGAACGAGAUGGCCCACAGAUUUAGAAGGAAAACAGAGUGCUUGCACGAAGUUAGAAUUUUGAUGACGUGGAAUUUCCAUCUAGUGGCAAACGGGUGAAUAACACGUGGGUAACCUACCUCUAAGUUGGGGAUAACAGUUGGAAACGACUGAUAAUACCGAAUAAGCUCUACGGAGUAAAGAAGCCAUUAAGCUUUGCUAAGAGAUGGGCCUGCGGCGUAUUAGCUAGUUGUGGGGUAAGAGCCGUACCAAGGCGACGAUGCGUAGCCGAACUGAGAGGUUGAUCGGGCCACGACUGGGGACUGAGACACGGGCCCCAGGACUCCUACGGG
rnacentral:rRNA from 1 species